rnacentral:rRNA from 1 species
UGGGGAAUUUUGGACAAUGGGCGAAAGCCUGAUCCAGCAAUGCCGCGUGUGUGAAGAAGGCCUUCGGGUUGUAAAGCACUUUUGUCCGGAAAGAAAUCCUUGGCUCUAAUACAGUCGGGGGAUGACGGUACCGGAAGAAUAAGCACCGGCUAACUACGUGCCAGCAGCCGCGGUAAUACGUAGGGUGCAAGCGUUAAUCGGAAUUACUGGGCGUAAAGCGUGCGCAGGCGGUUUGCUAAGACCGAUGUGAAAUCCCCGGGCUCAACCUGGGAACUGCAUUGGUGACUGGCAGGCUAGAGUAUGGCAGAGGGGGGUAGAAUUCCACGUGUAGCAGUGAAAUGCGUAGAGAUGUGGAGGAAUACCGAUGGCGAAGGCAGCCCCUGGGCCAAUACUGACGCUCAUGCACGAAAGCGUGGGGAGCAAACAGGAUUAGAUACCCUGGUAGUCCACGCCCUAAACGAUGUCAACUAGUUGUUGGGGAUUCAUUCCUUAGUAACGUAGCUAACGCGUGAAGUUGACCGCCUGGGGAGUACGGUCG